rnacentral:rRNA from 1 species
UACGAAGGGGGCUAGCGUUGUUCGGAUUUACUGGGCGUACAGCGCACGUAGGCGGAUCGUUAAGUCAGGGGUGAAAUCCUGGGGCUCAACCCCAGAACUGCCUUUGAUACUGGCGAUCUCGAGUCCGGAAGAGGUGAGUGGAACUCCUAGUGUAGAGGUGAAAUUCGUAGAUAUUCGCAAGAACACCAGUGGCGAAGGCGGCUCACUGGCCCGGUACUGACGCUGAGGUGCGAAAGCGUGGGGAGCAAACAGG